rnacentral:misc_RNA from 1 species
UGUGGGAGCUGGCUUGCCUGCGAUAGCGGUGUGUCAGUGCCGAAGAUGCAAACUGAUGCACCGCCAUCGCAGGCAAGCCAGCUCCCACA